CAUUUUCUGCAUUUUCUUGUAUAGUAUAGUGUUAUUUAUGUCUGUACCUUUGAGAGUCACAAACUGCUGGAACCAAAUUAUUUGUGUGUCAACACACUUGGCCAUUUAGUUUGCUCUCUGGGUACUCUUGCGUCAUCCCACAGGCGAACGUUUGCAUGCAUGUUAGGUUAAUUGGUGACUCUAAAUUGCCCAUAGGUGUUUGUGUGUCUGUAUUUGUUAGCGCUGCUGGAUUGUACUUGAGGAGGUGAUCAGGGCCCUCAGGGAAGAGAAUGAAAGACUGCAGGAGCAGCAGAGUGUAGGACCUUCUGCAGCCAAUAAAGAUCUUGAGACCCAAGUCAAGGCUUUACAUAAGGAGAACACCAGGCUGCGAAAAAUGGCAGUUAAAGGCAACUAUCUCUUGUUGAUUAAAAUAGUGAUUCUUUUAGUUUGAAUAAAUCACAUCUCCUUAUUUUUCGUGUUAUUGUUAUACAUGUAUCUGUGUCUACAUUUUUAGGGGAUAUCUACUGAUGUAGUAUAGUGUUUCCUGUAGGAAAAAUUUAGCCUAGGGCUAAACACUGUAGAACCACUGAGGCAAAAUUGGUCUGGCAGAAACACUGUAAUGUUUUCAGAACCCCUUAUCAACACAUUUUGUUACACUUUGAGACACCAAAAAAUGAGCAGAGGUGUAUUUUGUUUUUUACAUGUUAUGUAUUUACAACUUGUUUGGAGUCCUGUUGUGAUAAAUUCGGUGGGCCAUAUUUUCCAGAAAUUCUCUGUCAGGACCCUCAUCUCGGACAAGAUCACAGAGAGCUCAAGCAAUGGAGAUGAAACCGAAUAUGAGGCCAGUGUUGCUCUACCAUCACCUCCUCAACCCACAUCUCCCAAAGCAACAUCAGUGCCACUAUGCCCAUUGUUGGGAGACUGCAAAAGCACAACCUACAGUGAAAGGAAUGGCCCGCACCCUCCUUCUGGGCCUGUUCAGCAUUGAUGUCCUACUGAAGUCCAACCUGACGGGAGGGGUCAAUAAGGUUGAUCCAUCUGCAGAGACGCCAGCCUCUGGACCCUAAGAAGCUUACAGCUUUACUCAAUGCAGUUGUUCAGCAACACGUAGGGGUGAAGAUUCCGGACAUACGAAUGGCCAUAAACAAAAGGAUCUGUGACUUAAGACACCAGGA